AGUCUAUCAGGCAUAGACAUCAGAGUCGAAGUAGUUCGGACUGGGGAAACGACACAUGCUCGCUAGGAUAUCGCAUCCUAUGCAUACGUAUCUUCUCGGACGAGAGAAGAAUCAGAGCAUUCGUAGCUCGGCUGACACGCACACAAACAAACACAGGCAAAGGCAAACGUGGAGCCUGAAUGCCAAUCACUGGACUUACAUCAGCAUCCGAACCUAAACACACACAAGAAGGCAAACAUGGAGCCCAAAUGCCAAUCACUGGACUUACAUUGACAUCCGGACCAAACACACGCACACUGGAACCCAAAUGCCACUCGAUGGACUUACAUCAGCUUCCAAGCACACAACAACACAACAAGUUGAUAGGGAGUCGGGGACUCGAGCCUAUAACUGUCAAGCACACA
rnacentral:lncRNA from 1 species